AUGGCCAUAUCAUGUUGAAUCAUCAGUUCUGAUACAAUCACUGAAGUUAAGCAAUGUUGAGUCUGGUCAGUACUUAGAUGGGUGACCACUUGGGGAUACUAGGUGCUGUAAG